rnacentral:rRNA from 1 species
GCAUAUCAAUAAGCGGAGGAAAAGAAACCAACUGGGAUUACCUUAGUAACGGCGAGUGAAGCGGUAAAAGCUCAAAUUUGAAAUCUGGUACUUUCAGUGCCCGAGUUGUAAUUUGUAGAAUUUGUCUUUGAUUAGGUCCUUGUCUAUGUUCCUUGGAACAGGACGUCAUAGAGGGUGAGAAUCCCGUUUGGCGAGGAUACCUUUUCUCUGUAAGACUUUUUCGAAGAGUCGAGUUGUUUGGGAAUGCAGCUCAAAGUGGGUGGUAAAUUCCAUCUAAAGCUAAAUAUUGGCGAGAGACCGAUAGCGAACAAGUACAGUGAUGGAAAGAUGAAAAGAACUUUGAAAAGAGAGUGAAAAAGUACGUGAAAUUGUUGAAAGGGAAGGGCAUUUGAUCAGACAUGGUGUUUUUUGCAUGCACUCGCCUCUCGUGGGCUUGGGCCUCUCAAAAAUUUCACUGGGCCAACAUCAAUUCUGGCAGCAGGAUAAAUCAUUAAGAAUGUAGCUACUUCGGUAGUGUUAUAGCUUUUUGGAAUACUGUUAGCCGGGAUUGAGGACUGCGCUCGGCAAG